GCCCCCAUAGUUCAAUGGAUAGAACAUUAGCCUUCUAAGCUGAUGAUGCAGGUUCGAUUCCUGCUGGGGGUA
rnacentral:tRNA from 1 species